GGCGGCCGUGGCGCGAUGACAGAGCGUCUGCCUUGCAAGCCAGAGGAUCUCGGUUCAAGUCCGGGCUCCGUCA
rnacentral:tRNA from 1 species